rnacentral:rRNA from 1 species
AGGACGAACGCUGGCGGCGUGCCUAAUACAUGCAAGUCGAGCGGACAGAUAAGGAGCUUGCUCCUUUGAAGUCAGCGGCGGACGGGUGAGUAACACGUGGGCAACCUGCCCUGUAGACUGGGAUAACUUCGGGAAACCGGAGCUAAUACCGGAUAAUACUUUUGAACUCAUGUUUGAAAGUUGAAAGAUGGUUUCGGCUAUCACUACAGGAUGGGCCCGCGGCGCAUUAGCUAGUUGGUAAGGUAACGGCUUACCAAGGCAACGAUGCGUA